CCUACGGGUGGCAGCAGUGAGGAAUAUUGGUCAAUGGGCGCGAGCCUGAACCAGCCAAGUAGCGUGAAGGAUGACUGCCCUACGGGUUGUAAACUUCUUUUAUAAAGGAAUAAAGUGAGGCACGUGUGCCUUUUUGUAUGUACUUUAUGAAUAAGGAUCGGCUCACUUCGUGCCAGCAGCCGCGGGAAUACGGAGGAUCCGAGCGUUAUCAGGAUUUAUUUGGUUUAAAGGGAGCGUAGACGGGUAGUUAAGUCAGUUGUGAAAGGUUGCGGCUCAACCGUGAAAUUGCAAUUGAUACUGGCAGUCUUGAGUGCAGAUGAGGUAGGCGGAAUUCGUGGUGUAGCGGUGAAAUGCUUAGAUAUCACGAAGAACUCCGAUUGCGAAGGCAGCUUACUAAACUGCCACUGACGUUGAUGCUCGAAAGUGUGGGUAUCAAACAGGAUUAGAUACCCCGGUAGUC
rnacentral:rRNA from 1 species